GCUCAAUUAGUUUAAUUUUAUGGUAAAACUUUAUUUUUGUAAAAUAAUAAUGGACAUAGUCCUUUGAGUA
rnacentral:tRNA from 1 species